rnacentral:tRNA from 1 species
GCCCGGGUGGCGGAAUGGUAUACGCAACGGACUUAAAAUCCGUAACCCGUAAGGGUAUGAGGGUUCGACUCCCUCCCCGGGCA